rnacentral:rRNA from 2 species
GUUGAUGAUCGGUGCUUGCACCGAGAUUCAACAUGGAACGAGUGGCGGACGGGUGAGUAACACGUGGGUAACCUGCCCUUAAGUGGGGGAUAACAUUUGGAAACAGAUGCUAAUACCGCAUAGAUCCAAGAACCGCAUGGUUCUUGGCUGAAAGAUGGCGUAAGCUAUCGCUUUUGGAUGGACCCGCGGCGUAUUAGCUAGUUGGUGAGGUAAUGGCUCACCAAGGCGAUGAUACGUAGCCGAACUGAGAGGUUGAUCGGCCACAUUGGGACUGAGACACGGCCCAAACUCCUACGGGAGGCAGCAGUAGGGAAUCUUCCACAAUGGACGCAAGUCUGAUGGAGCAACGCCGCGUGAGUGAAGAAGGCUUUCGGGUCGUAAAACUCUGUUGUUGGAGAAGAAUGGUCGGCAGAGUAACUGUUGUCGGCGUGACGGUAUCCAACCAGAAAGCCACGGCUACAGCGUGCAA